AUGGAGGGCAUUAAUGCCAUAAUGUCAAAUUGUCUUGUGAAGUUAUCAGAGCAGCAACUGCUUGACUGUGUUACCUGUUCUUCCGAUGGUUGUGAGGGAGGUCGUGUAGUUCCAGCUUUCAGGUACCUUCAUAGGAAUGGAGGGCAAGUUUUGAAUGAUGUCUACCCAUACACAGCUGAAGUGAACACUGUCCACAAAAGAGUAAUUGCACCUGCAGUAUCUAUUGACGGCUUUGCUUUUACCUAUGGUGGUACCGAAAAAAAACUGAAGGUGGCUGUAGCAUCACAGCCAGUGGUGGUUGCUUUAGGGGCAGAUAAGGCAUUUGUGGAAUAUGAUGGUGGUGUUGUGGAUAGCAAGAACUAUACCCUUGCUGAACUGUCGACAAUUAAGUUCAGGGGUUCAUAUAUUGGGCACUACGUUACUGUUGUAGGUUAUGGGAUAACAGAGUUUGGUGAGCUUUUUUGGCUUGUCAAAAAUUCACGCGGGGCAAAUUAUGGUGAAGAUGGGUAUAUCAGGAUCGCAAGGGAAACUGGCAAGGAGGGAGGUGCUUUUGGGAUUGCCAGGUUCUUCGCGUAUCCAGUCAAGAAAAAUGGGAAGAAUAACAGAAGGUGCAUGGUGAGGUCUGAGGCUGAGCUGUAUGGUUGCAAGUGUAUUCACUGGAUAUGA
rnacentral:rRNA from 1 species